GGACAGAGGAGGACAACUCGCUGCUCCGACAGGGGGGAGGAGGGGGAGGAGGGGGAGGGGGAGGAGGCGGUAUAGGGUACGACCCAUUGGACACUUGAAAGACAAAGAAGAAUGGAAACAAGUAUCUCAUUAUUAAUUAUCUAGAUCAGCUUUGUGAAUGUGGAGUUGAAACUCACCUGUGCCUUGCAUUGGUGGUGGAGGAGGGGGUGGUGGUGGUGCUGGCAUCCCGGGAGUGCCACUCAUGCCUGGUCCCGUGCUGUGAUAGGCUACCGUCUCCGGACUGUUGAAAUCAAUCAGUGAACACUGCCCCAUGCCCAGGUACAUGAUGUGUAGCCUGAAGAACAGAAGAACAGCCUGGACUCAACCUGAAGAAUGAGAGUUCAUUCUUUGCCCUCUUUAAGCUCUAUUUAUGAUUUUGUUAAGUUUUGGUCUCCACCAGCUCCUGAGGGUACCAUCCGUCUCUUCAGCUGCAGUGACAUCCCUCACCUGGGGGACAGGUUAGGGCAGGGCGGAGGUGAGGGGGAAGUGGAGUCAGCCACCCCUCCAUCCCCCUCUCCUCUCUGGGGUUGAGGAGCCCCAAGUCCUCCAGCCUGCUGGACUUCUUGAGCCUGGCGCUCCAGACGGCUCUGGCGUCGUAUUGUCUGAUCCUUCUCCCGAACCAUCCGCCUCAAGCACUGUAACUACCAUGACCUGGAUGACUGAGAGCCUACACCUACAGAAUAACUUCUAGUUCGCAUCAUCAAACAAAAUAUUUUCUGUCUCCAUGGUGAUCAAAUUUUUGCAUUGGUUCUGACCCGGAUGUGGUCCAGCUCCUUGUUGGUUUGCAUCAGCUGUUUCUCCAGUUCGACAAUCUUCAGCAUUGCUUCAUUCUCCACAUCCAACAGGCGCUCAGACAUCUGUGGACCGAGACAGAGACAGAAGAUGGUCUCUCAUCUGAGAACUGAGAGAGAGAGAUCUUAAUAUGACACGUCUACCUGUCCGCCCAUUUGUCUCACCCUGGCCAGGCUUUCUUCCAACUCCUCAACUCGUUCCAGAGCAGCAGUUUUGGUCUCGGCAUCCUCCAGCAAUGUCCCCACAUCAAACACAUUGUCAAGGUGUUCAUCCAGGUUGAGUUUGGUGAAGUCAUACUGCAGGUGGACUCUGAAGUUCAUGUCUUCAACUGAGUGAACCACGAUGUUGAUGAACUGCAUGCAGGCCACC